rnacentral:rRNA from 1 species
GACGAACGCUGGCGGCGUGCUUAACACAUGCAAGUCGAACGGAAAGGCCCUGCUUUUGUGGGGUGCUCGAGUGGCGAACGGGUGAGUAACACGUGAGUAACCUGCCCUUGACUUUGGGAUAACUUCAGGAAACUGGGGCUAAUACCGGAUAGGAGCUCCUGCUGCAUGGUGGGGGUUGGAAAGUUUCGGCGGUUGGGGAUGGACUCGCGGCUUAUCAGCUUGUUGGUGGGGUAGUGGCUUACCAAGGCUUUGACGGGUAGCCGGCCUGAGAGGGUGACCGGCAAAAUUGGGACGGGGAUACGGCCCAGACUCCUACGGGAGGAAGCAGUGGGGAUUAUGGCACAAGGGGCGGAAGCAUGAUGCAGCAACGCCGCGUGCGGGAGGACGGCCUUCGGGUGGUAAACCGCUUUCGCCUGGGACGAAGCGUGAGUGACGGUAAUGGGUAAAGAAGCACCGGCGACCUACGU